GACGGAAGGUGCAAGCGUUGCUCGGAAUCACUGGGCGUAAGGGUGCGUAGGCGGCCGUGCAAGUCUGGCGUGAAAGCCCCGGGCUCAGCCCGGGAAGUGCGCUCGAAACUGCGCGGCUCGAGUGCCGGAGGGGAGAGUGGAAUUCCUGGUGUAGCGGUGAAAUGCGUAGAUAUCAGGAGGAAUACCGGUGGCGAAAGCGACUCUCUGGACGGCAACUGACGCUGAGGCACGAAAGCGUGGGGAGCAAACAGG
rnacentral:rRNA from 1 species